GACGAACGCUGGCGGCGUGCCUAACACAUGCAAGUCGAGCGGGGACAUAUUGUGAAGCAGAAGUUUUCGGACGGAAGCGGAACGAUAUGUUCUAGCGGCGGACGGGUGAGUAACGCGUGAGCAACCUGUCCCUUACAGGGGGAUAACACAGCGAAAGUUGUACUAAUACCGCAUAAGACCACAGAGUCACAUGGCUUAGGGGUCAAAGGAGCAAUCCGGUAAGGGGUGGGCUCGCGUCCGAUUAGAUAGUUGGUGAGGUAACGGCCCACCAAGUCGACGAUCGGUAGCCGACCUGAGAGGGUGAUCGGCCACAUUGGGACUGAGACACGGCCCAAACUCCUACGGGAGGCAGCAGUGGGGAAUAUUGGGCAAUGGGGGAAACCCUGACCCAGCAACGCCGCGUGAGGGAAGAAGGUUUUCGGAUCGUAAACCUCUGUCCUAGGUGAAGAGAAAGAGACGGUAGCCUAGGAGGAAGCCCCGGCUAACUACGUGCCAGCAGCCGCGGUAAUACGUAGGGGGCGAGCGUUGUCCGGAAUGAUUGGGCGUAAAGGGCGCGUAGGCGGCCCGGUAAGUCUGAAGUGAAAGUCCUGCGUUCAACGUGGGAAUUGCUUUGGAUACUGUCGGGCUUGAGUGCAGGAGAGGUAAGUGGAAUUCCCAGUGUAGCGGUGAAAUGCGUAGAGAUUGGGAGGAACACCAGUGGCGAAGGCGACUUACUGGACUGUAACUGACGCUGAGGCGCGAAAGUGUAGGGAGCAAACAGGAUUAGAUACCCUGGUAGUCCACACUGUAAACGAUGAAUGCUAGGUGUAGGGGGUAUCGACCCCUUCUGUGCCGCAGUUAA
rnacentral:rRNA from 1 species